rnacentral:rRNA from 1 species
GGACGAACGCUGGCGGCGUGCUUAACACAUGCAAGUCGAACGAGAGGAGAAGGAAGCUUGCUUCUUUCAAAUCUAGUGGCAAACGGGUGAGUAACACGUAAACAACCUGCCUUCAGGAUGGGGACAACAGACGGAAACGACUGCUAAUACCGAAUACGUUCCUUAGGUCGCAUGACUUUAGGAAGAAAGGGUGGCCUCUACUUGUAAGCUAUCGCCUGAAGAGGGGUUUGCGUCUGAUUAGGUAGUUGGUGGGGUAACGGCCCACCAAGGCGACGAUCAGUAGCCGGUCUGAGAGGAUGAACGGCCACAUUGGGACUGAGACACGGCCCAAACUCCUACGGGAGGCAGCAGUGGGGAAUCUUCCGCAAUGGGCGCAAGCCUGACGGAGCAACGCCGCGUGAGUGAAGAAGGUUUUCGGAUCGUAAAGCUCUGUUGAGAGGGACGAGAGGCAAGGCUAGGAAAUGAGCUUUGUAGGACGGUACCUUUCGAGGAAGCCACGGCUAACUACGUG